GUAGGUGAACCUGCGGAGGGAUCAUUAACACGUUUCCUAAAAACAAACGUAUCCAACCAAAUAACCACGUGAACCAAAUAAAAACCCCCUUCAUAGCCGGACGAGGGAUAAUCAUCAGGGUGGAUUUUCCUUAUAUAAAGGGAAUGAUUCGUUGUCAGGACUGUGUGUCAUAUGCUUCGGUGUAUGUAUAUACAGAGACCAACAGCAGUUAUUUCUGGGGAAUCUAUGACUCGCUCUAGGGACUCGUCGA
rnacentral:misc_RNA from 1 species